GACCAUCCUCCCACUCCUUCCGGUCUAAGAAUGGGAUUGGUGUCUUCUAUCUCAUUUAAUCUCCUUGUCCAAUGUGUUCUUGCCAAUCUCACUCACUGCCGAUUGCGUGAAUUUUGUAGUGGUCUGUAGUCAAUACUACCUUUGAUUUUUUAGAGUUGCAGGUUUUGGUACCGUCUUCAUCUUCCAUUGACGCUGACAGCUUAUCUUCCCAUUCCCCCUUACCCUUCUCUAUUAAUUGAAUACACUAGUGUGUGUAUUCUGUGCUUAUGGUGAUCUACAAUUUCAUCUAGGCACCAACAGAUGGAGACCAAGACCCUCUUUGUCGUUGGCGUCUUCCUAUUCACAGUUUGAAGUCGGUUCCAAGGAAAGCGACUAUACGUCCGUAUACAUCUACAGAAAACAUACGCCUCCAUAUUGUUGUUCUCUCGAUCGUUGCCUCCUCAAGCCUUCCCCUCUGAAGCCACCGUCGUUAGCCAUCUCCUCCCCACCUCCGGAGAUCGUCACAGCCCACAGCAACACCGGAGAUCGUUGCCUCCUCACGUGUUUGUUCCUGCUUCUACAUUCGUCGUUAUUUUUCCUGCUGUUUGCUUUUAUUCGUCUCUUUUUUUUUCCCUUCCUGUCGAUUUUUUUGCUGAUGUCGAUCUUCCUUCUUUUCCCUUUGUUUUCUGGUAUAUGUAGAAUUGGAACUUAAAAGUUGUGGAUUUUCAAUUUUGUGCUAAUGUCGAUUUUUCUUGUGCUGUUGUCGACCUCAGAAAGCGAAGGUCGACCUGUACACCUCAAAUCGGCGUGAAGAGGCUGUGGUAGUGAGGAGUCCUUCCUGUCGAAGCCACUGUGCGUCAACCUUCCGAUCAGAAGAUUUUGCUUCAAACAACUUUAUCCAAAGGUACAGAUUAAGCUCAAAACCCAGUUCAUCUGCAAUUUAGAUCUGUCUCUUGAAUCAAGAGCACAUGAGCAACCGUAAACAUAUCAGAAAACCACGAAGGGCAGCCAUCAUCACAAGGGCAAAAAAGUCAACACAGGAGCAUCUGCGAUCCAUCCCAUCCAAAUUGAAGCAAUCACAAAGAAACCUGAAACAUCACGAUAAACCAAAAAAUAUACUCGCAUGCGAAUAUAAGAUUUUCAAAGUCAGAAUUUCAGAUGCAUCAUCAGAUAGCUUGCUUCACUUCAGCAGCAAGCUAUACAAGAAAUCUGAAAUCUCAUAAAAUUUUAUCACGGUUAAUAUUUUCCAACUUCAGCUAUUCUUGGUAUGCAAAAAUUAUAGUUACUUGGAAAACUUAUUCCAAAACCUACUGUAUAACAAAAUUAAAUGUUCCUUGGACCUGCAACAUAAAAAUGAUACAAAACAGGUCACCAAACGGUAAAAGUAAAAGACAUGAGUACAUUUUAUCAGAA